UGCUAUACAUGCAAGUCGAGCGAACGGACGAGAAGCUUGCUUCUCUGAUGUUAGCGGCGGACGGGUGAGUAACACGUGGAUAACCUACCUAUAAGACUGGGAUAACUUCGGGAAACCGGAGCUAAUACCGGAUAAUAUUUUGAACCGCAUGGUUCAAAAGUGAAAGACGGUCUUGCUGUCACUUAUAGAUGGAUCCGCGCUGCAUUAGCUAGUUGGUAAGGUAACGGCUUACCAAGGCAACGAUGCAUAGCCGACCUGAGAGGGUGAUCGGCCACACUGGAACUGAGACACGGUCCAGACUCCUACGGGAGGCAGCAGUAGGGAAUCUUCCGCAAUGGGCGAAAGCCUGACGGAGCAACGCCGCGUGAGUGAUGAAGGUCUUCGGAUCGUAAAACUCUGUUAUUAGGGAAGAACAUAUGUGUAAGUAACUGUGCACAUCUUGACGGUACCUAAUCAGAAAGCCACGGCUAACUACGUGCCAGCAGCCGCGGUAAUACGUAGGUGGCAAGCGUUAUCCGGAAUUAUUGGGCGUAAAGCGCGCGUAGGCGGUUUUUUAAGUCUGAUGUGAAAGCCCACGGCUCAACCGUGGAGGGUCAUUGGAAACUGGAAAACUUGAGUGCAGAAGAGGAAAGUGGAAUUCCAUGUGUAGCGGUGAAAUGCGCAGGAGAUAUGGAGGAACACCAGUGGGCGAAGGCGACUUUCGGGUCUGUAACCGACGCCUGAUGUGCGAAAGGCUGGGGAUCAAACAGGAUUAGAUACCCUGGUAGUCCACGCCGUAAACGAUGAGUGCUAAGUGUUAGGGGGUUUCCGCCCCUUAGUGCUGCAGCUAACGCAUUAAGCACAAUCUUGGAUUAAGUUGGGCACUCUAAGUUGACUGCCGGUUAUGAUUUGGGCUACACACGUGCUAC
rnacentral:rRNA from 1 species